GCUUUAGCUCCUCCUGAAACAAAAGAUAAGUAGCAUCUCCACUAACCUUUAGGAAGUAGAUCAACUUGCAUAGGUUGUAUAUCCCCAAUGGGAAGAAAAAAAAUGGAACAAUAGAAAUUGGAAAGUUUUCCUGACCUGAUCUUAUUUCUAAAUGGGUGAAUGGAAUAGGGUAAAUCUGUAAAUAUACUGGUAGUAGUAUUCAUAAGAACUCUAAUUAACAAACAUAGAUCUAUGAAUUUUAAAAAAAAUAAACAUCUCAUAAAACACAGUAAAUCAUAAAUGUAUCUUUUACUUUUUUUUUUAAUAACAUGUUUGUAUGUACACAUUUUCAACUACUUAAAAACUGUACACAUCAAGUCAAUUGUGUUGCGCACACACACACACACACAGUCACUCAGCUAUUAUAAACACUAGAGUACCAUACACAGAAUUAACAAGUCACCAAGUUCAGCUAGUAAUAGUAGUCAUCCUUAGAAAUGGAAUAAUUCACACCAUUGCCUGCUGUCAAUGGACAUCCUCCAACAUGUGAGCAAUCUCUACUAGUUUC